rnacentral:tRNA from 1 species
GGUAGGAUGGCUGAGUGUGUAAGCGGUGGUUUGUAGCUCCAUAGACGAAGGUUUGAGUCCUUCUCCUACCA